GAGAUGAAAUUGGAAUAGCAGGCUGUCCUGCUCUGGCUCUGGGUCGUCUGCUCUGAUUCCGCUUGCUGAGCACCAUGGGAAAUCCUAACGGCCCAAUCACAGGCAGUCAGACUGGAUCCAAAGCCUCACAGACAGAGAGCAGAGGUUUAUGAAAACGUUACAGUUUCCAAAAAUACAACUACACAGCUGUGAGUUUUGAGUCUAAAUGCAGAUGUUUCACUUUCGGGUUGCAAUCUACUGUACAUAUUUUGAGUGUUUCACUUUCUAACAACAGGAUGAAGAAGAAACAGUAUGAAAUUUCACAUAUGGUGGACAGGAAGCAACUGUUAAUGGUACAAGCUGCAAAAAUCAAUGUCUUUUCCAUUUCAGAGUCCUUAGGUUUAAAUUUUUAUGCAUUUGAAAAUCAGAGAAGGUAAACAGUAACUUUUAUUGCAGGGGAAUGUGCAUUCUUUACGUGACGGUAGAGCAGUCAACCCUAGACAGUAUGAACGUCAUAAAGACUGAAUCUGAGGCCAUGAAUCGCAGGGUGCAGAUGUCGUUUACAGUCUCCUGCAUGGAACGGCCAUGGGAAAGACCGCCCACGUGGAUCUCUCAGUAUGGAAGAUAUCGAAAGCAGCGUUUCAUCUGGAAUGGGUAUCGAACUGGGAGCACGUUGCCAUGGUCACCUCUGUUGUGUGGUACGGUUCUGGCCAUUCUGGUGCGAACCUGAGAUCCUCCCUAAACUGACCAUCCUAACAUCCUCCUUAUCAGGACUCCCCAGGAUUAUUGGGACCUGCGUAUGUGUGGAGCGUGUGAAUCGCUUGCUGAGCCUCUGAGCUUCCUGGGCGGCGUUCAGCCCCCGCCAAGGCUGACGGACAGACGCACCAGGCUGACCUCACGCCUCCGCAGCCUCCCGGAACGAGCCGGAAGGUGGCUGGCGAGAAGGAGCGGGCUUUUAGGGCUGUGGCGAUAAGUGGAGGCAUCAAGGUCCCGGCAAAAAUCAGCCUCCAUGAUGAAGCACGUGGCCCUGGUCAGCGAAACCUCACCACCCGAAUGUGGACCAUGAUGAACAGCUAGGAUAUUGACUAGCGUGCAGAGUGUAGGCAAGGCCUGAAAGCACCGCAAGGUCUGUUUGUGGAUGGAUGGACACCAGACUUAAGAUGGUGUUUAUAACGGGACCCAUAUGAGAUGCCUGGGUUCUUUGAACGGUGGAAACAAUAACAGGAUCUGGAGGAAGACGCCUGAAGCUCAC